UAUAUAUUAACAAUACCACUCUUGCUACCAAUUGCCAAAUACUUAUUAGAUGGGUCCAAACAAAAAUGAGUGGUAGAUACACCAUCUUGAACUUGCCAACGACGAACGACUGAACGUUGCUCAACAUUAAAAUGCCAUACCUCCGCACCAUAACUAAGCACCAACAUUUCCGACCCGUCAGAAGUGAACAAAACGUCGGAAAGUACACCUUCAAUUUUAAAGCUUGUAGCAAACUGACCAGUAAGAGCAUGCAGUAAAUUUAUAUGGCCAGAUCUUCCUUCCAAAGCAAUGUACUUCCCAGUUGGAUCUACGUGAAACCUUUCCAUACUUGGCUGAAAGUUCUCUUGUCCAUACAUACGACUAACUUUUUGAACUUGGGCAGACUCCAAAUCCCAAAUGUACAUGUAUUUUCUCCGACCAGCAGCUAUUACUCGUUUACCAUCCGGAUGAAACAACGCAGUUUGAAGAGCUGAAGAACGUAAAUGCAAAGAUGUUACCAGUGGAUUGACUUUGCCAUCAAGCUGAUAAAUGCGAAGUGUGCGAUCAAAGCCACAAGUAAGCAAAAGAGGAAAAUAAGGAUGAAUAGACAUACAACGAAUUCCACUGUGAGAAGGUGCUUGGAAGUUGGCAUCUUUAAGCCGUUUGAUGUUGAUAGUACCAGGAGCAAGAAGCUUUGAGGAUUGAUUUAUGUAGGAAACUGAAGAUUUGAAUAGACUCUUCAAAGAUUUAGGAAUGACACUUUUCUCCGAUAAAGCAUUAAAUUCAUCCUCUUCUUCGGUUACGUCUUGCUUUUUAGCCCAUUCAGGCACUGGAUAAACUCUUUCAAACUGGGUUCGUAACCUUCUGGCGUAUUGAAGACCAUUAACCAUGUCUUCAUCUUCAUAUUGACGCAAUUUUCUUAAUCUCGAGUGGUCCUGCAAAGAUAUCAUCAACCGCUCAUCGUCGCUGUCUUCCCAAAUCGAAGGGAUUUCAUUACUAGCUUCUUCGUCCUCCUUCACCGUAUUAUCUCCAGCUAUAAUAUCUAAAGGUACAGAAUCUUUGGCUCCAUCUGCUGAGCCAGUAUCGAACAUGAAAAGCUCUGCAUCUUCCAGCUUUUCCAAUUCAUCUUCUUGAGCAUCGUUAUCUUCGCUCAAUUCGGGAGCUUCGUUCAUCAUCACAUCAAAAGUCUCAUUCUCUUUAUCUAAAAAGGAAGAGAAAUUGUUAAUGUUUCCGAAAACCGCAUUUUCGAGCUCCAAUUCCUCAGUAUCUUUUUCCAUUUUUUUAGAACUCGGCUUUUCCGCAGUUUUUCUACUCUUAGAGCUUAUAUCGAGAAAAGCAUCUCGGUAUACGGAGUUUUUCAAGUUAUUUUCCUUACUUGAAGCCAUCCGAAUAAAAAUGUUUAGAUAAUUAUGUAGAGUUGGUUUUUGAAAAAUUCACCCAACCUUCCAUAUAGCGAAAUGCACUGAAAUACCUCGACUGGUCAAAAAGCUCAUACAAUCGAAAUAGCAUUUCUGUAGAUAUAUAUUACUCAUAAAUUAAUAUUUUUUACAAGUUUAGUUUAUUACUAGUCUAAGCUUUUUUCUAAUAUUAAUUCCAUAAACUAUGAAAUAAAUU